GACGAACGCUGGCGGCGUGCUUAACACAUGCAAGUCGAACGGUGAAAGCGGAGCUUGCUCCGCUGGAUCAGUGGCGAACGGGUGAGUAACACGUGGGCAACCUGCCCCUCACUUCGGGAUAACUCCGGGAAACCGGGGCUAAUACCGGAUAUGACCUCCUUGGGCAUCCUUGGAGGUGGAAAGUUUUUCGGUGAGGGAUGGGCCCGCGGCCUAUCAGCUUGGUGGUGAGGUAGUGGCUCACCAAGGCGACGACGGGUAGCCGGCCUGAGAGGGCGACCGGCCACACUGGGACUGAGACACGGCCCAGACUCCUACGGGAGGCAGCAGUGGGGAAUAUUGCGCAAUGGGCGGAAGCCUGACGCAGCAACGCCGCAUGCGGGAUGACGGCCUUCGGGUUGUAAACCGCUUUCAGCAGGGAAGAAGCCGCAAGGUGACGGUACCUGCAGAAGAAGCACCGGCUAACUACGUGCCAGCCGCCGCAGUAA
rnacentral:rRNA from 1 species